UUUUUUUGUGAGACAGAGUCUUGCUCUGUCGUCCAGGCUGGAGUGCAAUGGCCCAAUCUCGGCUCAUUGCAACCUCCGUCUCCUGGAUUCAAGUGAUUCUCCUGUCUCAGCCUCCUGAGUAGCUGGGAUUAGAGGUACGCACCACCAGGCCCGGCUAAUUUUUGUAUUUUUAGUAAAGAUGGGGUUUCGCCAUGUUGGCCAGGCUGGUCUCAAAACUCCUGACCUCAGGUGAUCUGCCCGCCUCGGCCUCCCGAAGUGCUGGGAUUACAGGCGCGAGCCACCGCGCCCUGCCAAGUUGUGUGUAUUUCGCUGAAUGCAAAUUAAGUCUCAAUUAAAAAAAAAGUAACUGCAAAUAUUUUAAUAGACGUUACAGCAUGCUAUGGAAAUAUGCCAGAGGGUGACUCCAUGAGGGUGUGCCCCAGAAAUCAGGGAAAGUCUUUACUAAGAAAGUGAGAUUUCAAAGAUUUGGGAGGACUACAAAUUGCCCAUACAAAGCGGGAUGGGGGAGUAGGGUGAACUCAAUACAAAAAUGUUAGCUUCUUUCGGUGAAGGUCUUCCAAACGCAAGUAUCUAACAUUCACCUUAUGCCUGCAGAUACUCUACAUUUGUGUUUUGGCAUUUAAUUUAAUUUCACAGCGAUCAUUCGACGUCAGAAUUUUGGUUCCCAUUCUACAAGUGAGAAAAUUGAGGUUCAGGGAGGUCAAAGGACCCGUUGAAGGCCAUGAAGUAGGAUGCGCCAGAAGCCAGGCUUGAGAGCUGCAUACUCGGCGAGAGUUUCUCCAAGGCAAAGCCUGAAACAGGAACCACAGGCUCUCCAGGUGGGGAGGCUGGCGCUGAGGAAUGUUCUCCUGAACAAAGGGCUCGGCUCGCGCGCCCGCACACCCGCCUCCCCCGGCGCCGGCCUUGGUCUCCAGAGACAGUGGGGUGGGGGGUGGAGACGCCCAGGGCCCUGGGAGAGUGGGUUGAGAGAAUGGAAGUGAAGAGGAAGGCUUCACCAUCACCUUAACUAACAUGUGUUUCCUACCGUUAAAUAAACAUUAUAGGAGGCCACUGUUUUGGACUAAGUUUCUGCACCAGGCCCCAGCCGACCAGACUAAAAAUCAAAAGAGUCACCCAUGCUAAAGUUCCACAUUACCAAAUGGAAACUGAGUUGCCAUCUAACCUGGGGAGAAAUCAAGAGACAACAGCCAAUUUCCCAAACAGGCCGGUUUAAAUCCUCAAUCAACAUCACAUUUCCCUGCUUUAAUCCUACGCAAAAAAAGGCGGCUUGAAAGAACCUGAUAGUAACCACUUGGUUAUUAUUCUAUUGGUCUGUCCUGCCUUACAAGAAAAGUAAAAGUAACUUUGAAAAAUAAC
rnacentral:lncRNA from 1 species